AGAGUUUGAUCAUGGCUCAGCCUGAACGCUGGCGGCGUGGCUAAGACAUGCAAGUCGCACGGUGUAGCAAUACACAGUGGCGAACGGGAGAGUAAUGAAUCGCUAACGUACCCCGGACUCUGGGAUAGCUAUCCGAAAGGGUAGGUAAUACCAGAUGAUACCACAGGCAGGCAUCUGCCGGUGCUCAAAGGUCCGCCGGUCUGGGAGCGGGCGAUUUCGUAUCAGCUAGUUGGUGAGGUAACGGCUCACCAAGGCGACGACGCGUAGCCGGACUGAGAGGUUGGCCGGCCUCAUUGGGACUGAGACACUGCCCAGACUCCUACGGGGGGCUGCAGUAACGAAUCUUCCGCAAUGCACGAAAGUGUGACGGAGCGACGCCGCGUGUAGGACGAAGCCCUUCGGGGUGUAAACUACUGUCAGGGGUUACCAAGUUCUGAGGAGCCCCAGAGGAAGGCACGGCUAACUCUGUGCCAGCCGCCGCGGUAAUAC
rnacentral:rRNA from 1 species